GGAGCGAACCAGGGGAACUGAAACAUCUAAGUACCCUGAGGAAAAGAAAUCAACCGAGAUUCCCUUAGUAGUGGCGAGCGAACGGGGACCAGCCCUUAAGUUGGAUCGAGAUUAGCGGAACGCUCUGGAAAGGGCGGCCAUAGUGGGUGAUAGCCCUGUACGCGAAAGUCUCUUUGCAAUGAAAUCGAGUAGGACGGGGCACGAGAAACCUUGUCUGAAUAUGGGGGGACCAUCCUCCAAGGCUAAAUACUACUGACUGACCGAUAGUGAACCAGUACCGUGAGGGAAAGGCGAAAAGAACCGCGGAGAGCGGAGUGAAAUAGAUCCUGAAACCGUAUGCGUACAAGCAGUGGGAGCCCACUUUGUUGGGUGACUGCGUACCUUUUGUAUAAUGGGUCAGCGACUUAUUUUCAGUGGCAAGCUUAACCGAAUAGGGGAGGCGUAGCGAAAGCGAGUCUUAAUAGGGCGUCUAGUCGCUGGGAAUAGACCCGAAACCGGGCGAUCUAUCCAUGGGCAGGUUGAAGGUUAGGUAACACUGACUGGAGGACCGAACCGACUACCGUUGAAAAGUUAGCGGAUGACCUGUGGAUCGGAGUGAAAGGCUAAUCAAGCUCGGAGAUAGCUGGUUCUCCUCGAAAGCUAUUUAGGUAGCGCCUCAUGUAUCACUGUAGGGGGUAGAGCACUGUUUCGGCUAGGGGGUCAUCCCGACUUACCAAACCGAUGCAAACUCCGAAUACCUACAAGUGCCGAGCAUGGGAGACACACGGCGGGUGCUAACGUCCGUCGUGAAAAGGGAAACAACCCAGACCGUCAGCUAAGGUCCCAAAGUCAUGGUUAAGUGGGAAACGAUGUGGGAAGGCUUAGACAGCUAGGAGGUUGGCUUAGAAGCAGCCACCCUUUAAAGAAAGCGUAAUAGCUCACUAGUCGAGUCGGCCUGCGCGGAAGAUGUAACGGGGCUCAAACCAUGCACCGAAGCUACGGGUAUCAUCUUUUGAUGAUGCGGUAGAGGAGCGUUCUGUAAGCCUGUGAAGGUGAGUUGAGAAGCUUGCUGGAGGUAUCAGAAGUGCGAAUGCUGACAUGAGUAACGACAAUGGGUGUGAAAAACACCCACGCCGAAAGACCAAGGUUUCCUGCGCAACGUUAAUCGACGCAGGGUUAGUCGGUCCCUAAGGCGAGGCUGAAAAGCGUAGUCGAUGGAAAACAGGUUAAUAUUCCUGUACUUCUGGUUAUUGCGAUGGAGGGACGGAGAAGGCUAGGCCAGCCUGGCGUUGGUUGUCCAGGUUUAAGGUGGUAGGCUGAGACCUUAGGUAAAUCCGGGGUUUCAAGGCCGAGAGCUGAUGACGAGUGUUCCUUUGGAACACGAAGUGGUUGAUGCCAUGCUUCCAAGAAAAGCUUCUAAGCUUCAGGUAACCAGGAACCGUACCCCAAACCGACACAGGUGGUUGGGUAGAGAAUACCAAGGCGCUUGAGAGAACUCGGGUGAAGGAACUAGGCAAAAUGGCACCGUAACUUCGGGAGAAGGUGCGCCGGUGAGGGUGAAGCAUUUACUGCGUAAGCCCACGCCGGUCGAAGAUACCAGGCCGCUGCGACUGUUUAUUAAAAACACAGCACUCUGCAAACACGAAAGUGGACGUAUAGGGUGUGACGCCUGCCCGGUGCCGGAAGGUUAAUUGAUGGGGUUAGCGCAAGCGAAGCUCUUGAUCGAAGCCCCGGUAAACGGCGGCCGUAACUAUAACGGUCCUAAGGUAGCGAAAUUCCUUGUCGGGUAAGUUCCGACCUGCACGAAUGGCGUAACGAUGGCGGCGCUGUCUCCACCCGAGACUCAGUGAAAUUGAAAUCGCUGUGAAGAUGCAGUGUAUCCGCGGCUAGACGGAAAGACCCCGUGAACCUUUACUAUAGCUUUGCACUGGACUUUGAAUUUGCUUGUGUAGGAUAGGUGGGAGGCUUUGAAGCGUGGACGCCAGUCUGCGUGGAGCCAACCUUGAAAUACCACCCUGGCAACUUUGAGGUUCUAACUCAGGUCCGUUAUCCGGAUCGAGGACAGUGUAUGGUGGGUAGUUUGACUGGGGCGGUCUCCUCCUAAAGAGUAACGGAGGAGUACGAAGGUGCGCUCAGACCGGUCGGAAAUCGGUCGUAGAGUAUAAAGGCAAAAGCGCGCUUGACUGCGAGACAGACACGUCGAGCAGGUACGAAAGUAGGUCUUAGUGAUCCGGUGGUUCUGUAUGGAAGGGCCAUCGCUCAACGGAUAAAAGGUACUCCGGGGAUAACAGGCUGAUACCGCCCAAGAGUUCAUAUCGACGGCGGUGUUUGGCACCUCGAUGUCGGCUCAUCACAUCCUGGGGCUGAAGCCGGUCCCAAGGGUAUGGCUGUUCGCCAUUUAAAGUGGUACGCGAGCUGGGUUUAGAACGUCGUGAGACAGUUCGGUCCCUAUCUGCCGUGGACGUUUGAGAUUUGAGAGGGGCUGCUCCUAGUACGAGAGGACCGGAGUGGACGAACCUCUGGUGUUCCGGUUGUCACGCCAGUGGCAUUGCCGGGUAGCUAUGUUCGGAAAAGAUAACCGCUGAAAGCAUCUAAGCGGGAAACUUGCCUCAAGAUGAGAUCUCACUGGAACCUUGAGUUCCCUGAAGGGCCGUCGAAGACUACGACGUUGAUAGGUUGGGUGUGUAAGCGCUGUGAGGCGUUGAGCUAACCAAUACUAAUUGCCCGUGAGGCUUGACCAU
rnacentral:rRNA from 1 species